AACGAACGCUGGCGGCAGGCCUAACACAUGCAAGUCGAGCGCGCCCUUCGGGGUUAGCGGCGGACGGGUGAGUAACGCGUGGGAACGUUCCCUUCUCUGCGGAAUAUCCUCGGGUAACUGAGAGUAAUACCGCAUACGCCCUUUUGGGGAAAGAUUUAUCGGAGAAGGAUCGGCCCGAGUUGGAUUAGGUGGUUGGUGGGGUAAUGGCCCACCAAGCCGACGAUUCAUAGCUGGUUUGAGAGGAUGAUCAGCCACACUGGGACUGGGACACGGCCCAGAAUCCUACGGGAGGCAGGAGAGGGGAAUCUAAGAAAAUGGGGGAAAACAUGAAGGAGCCAUGACGGGUAAGUGAUGAAGGCAUUAGGGAUGAAAAGCUCAUUAAGCUGGGAAGAUAAUGACGGUACCAGAAGAAGAAGCCCCGGCUAACUACGUG
rnacentral:rRNA from 1 species